rnacentral:rRNA from 1 species
CACGUAGGGUGCAAGCGUUGUUCGGAUUCAUUGGGCGUAAAGGGUGCGUAGGCGGCGCGGUAAGUCGGGUGUGAAAUCUCGGAGCUUAACUCCGAAACUGCAUUCGAUACUGCCGUGCUUGAGGACUGGAGAGGAGACUGGAAUUUACGGUGUAGCGGUGAAAUGCGUAGAUAUCGUAAGGAAGACCAGUGGCGAAGGCGGGUCUCUGGACAGUUCCUGACGCUGAGGCACGAAGGUCAGGGGAGCAAACGGG